rnacentral:tRNA from 1 species
GGGCUGGGGUUCAGCGGUAAAGAGCUCACCUGGCAUGUGCGAGGUGCUGAGUUCGAUCCUCAGCACCACA